rnacentral:rRNA from 1 species
CACAUGCAAGUCAACUUGACUGAAGGAGCAAUCUGACAGUAGAGUGGCGCAAGGGUGCGUAACGCGUAAGUAACUUGCCCAAGGUAAGGAAUAACGUCGAGAAAUCCGGCGCUAAUACCUCAUAAUGCAGCGGAUCCGCAUGGAUAUGUUGUUAAAGGUUUACCGCCUUGGGAUAGGCUUGCGUCUGAUUAGCUAGUUGGUGUGGUAACGGCACACCAAGGCUACGAUCAGUAACUGGGUCUGAGAGGAUGAUCAGUCACACUGGAACUGAGACACGGUCCAGACUCCUACGGGAGGCAGCAGUGAGGAACAUUGGGCAAUGCUCGAAAGAGUGACCCAGCAACGCCGCGUGGAGGAUGAAGGUAUUCUAUAUCGUAAACUCCUGUGAGAGCAGACGAAAGACAGAUUAUUAAUCUGGAUGACUGUAUGCUCAGAGGAAGCCCCGGCUAACUACGUG